UACGAAGGGGGCUAGCGUUGCUCGGAAUUACUGGGCGUAAAGCGUGCGCAGGCGGCUUCUCAAGUCAGGGGUGAAAGCCCAGAGCUCAACUCUGGAAUUGCCUUUGAGACUGAGUGGCUUGAGUACGAGAGAGGUGAGUGGAAUUCCCAGUGUAGAGGUGAAAUUCGUAGAUAUUGGGAAGAACACCGGUGGCGAAGGCGGCUCACUGGCUCGUAACUGACGCUCAUGCACGCAGCGUGGG
rnacentral:rRNA from 1 species